rnacentral:rRNA from 1 species
UUGUAGAAUGACGGCGAGUUACGAUUUGUUGCAAGGUUAAGCGGAAAAAGCGGAGCCGUAGCGAAAGCGAGUCUGAAUAGGGCGCAUAAGUAACAGGUCGUAGACCCGAAACCAGGUGAUCUACCCAUGUCCAGGAUGAAGGUAAGGUAAUACUUACUGGAGGUCCGAACCCACGCACGUUGAAAGUGCGGGGAUGAGGUGUGGGUAGCGGAGAAAUUCCAAUCGAACUUGGAGAUAGCUGGUUCUCUCCGAAAUAGCUUUAGGGCUAGCCUCGAGGUAAAGAGUCAUGGAGGUAGAGCACUGUUUGGACUAGGGGCCCUUCUCGGGUUACCGAAUUCAGAUAAACUCCGAAUGCCAUGUACUUAUACUCGGGAGUCAGACUGCGAGUGAUAAGAUCCGUAGUCGAAAGGGAAACAGCCCAGACCACCAGUUAAGGUCCCCAAAUAUAUGUUAAGUGGAAAAGGAUGUGGGGUUGCUUAGACAACCAGGAUGUUGGCUUAGAAGCAGCCACCAUUGAAAGAGUG